GCCUGGGUGGCUCAGUCGGUUAAGCGUCCGACUUCGGCUCAGGUCAUGAUCUCACGGUCCGUGAGUUCGAGCCCCACUUCGGGCU
rfam:Felis catus isolate Cinnamon breed Abyssinian chromosome D3, whole genome shotgun sequence.